rnacentral:ncRNA from 1 species
UAUCUUCGGGGCUGGGUGAAAAUCCCGACCGGCGGUGAUGAGAUUUACUCUCUAAGCCCGCGAGCCGCAAGGCAGGAUUUGGUGCGAUUCCAAAGCCGACAGUAUAGUCUGGAUGGGAGAAGAUG